AUGAGCAGGAGGUGGAAAUACACAUGAGAGAUGAGAAUGGUGCCAAAAAAAUACGAUGAUGAUUAUUAAAGAUAUACAGUAGGCGGUUUGUUUAUCGGUUUAGCGAAACGAGAGCAGAUUCGUCGAGGGUGUGCCCAUAAUGAGACAGAAACAGAAGAAGUGGAAGUUUCAUGCUAAUGAGAACUCGCUGAGAAGAUACUAUACUAACUAUAUUGUCCACUGUCGCCAUCGGGUAGAUGAUGAAAGAGGUGCAUGAGGAAAAAAACAUUUAUUAUGAGGGAUAGCGUAAAAGUCAGCUGUGAUAAAUCUUGGUGGCAGGGGACGUAUACGGGUUCCUCGUCAUCCUUCGGCUUCCAAUCGGAAGGAAGGAGUCUGCUGCGUCCAGCUGUGACAGGAGCAUCUGGUGCCAAUGGGAAACCAUGCUGAGAAUACGCACAAACAAAAAGCAUUUUACAUCUCGUGAACACACUUUUUUUUUCUGUGAUAAAUGGUAAAUAGUGUGUUUACACAUGAAGGGGUGUAUGCAUAUACACAUUUCACUCAAAAUAAUAAAGGUUCUAGGCAUUAAGAAUAGAUUUAAGGUGUAUAAUUAAUGUCCACAUGGAAUUUUAUUGAGUCUAUAAUUAUGUUGUGAUAUACUAUGUGCUUAGGUUUAUUUAAAAUACAUUCAAUGUAAUGAAGCAUUAAUAUUUAUAUAAUAAAUAGGCUAUAGAUGGUUUAAAGAGAGUUUUAGAACUUUAGUACAUCUUUAUGUAAUAUCAUAAUUCUGUUGUCCAUGAAAUAUAUAUUGAAUGCACUUUUAAGCAUAAAAGCUUAAAUUCAA